GUCUCUGUAGCGCAAUGGAUAGCUUGAUGGACUUCUAAUCCAUAGGUGGUGGGUUCAAAUCCACCUGGGAUG